rnacentral:rRNA from 1 species
GACGAACGCUGGCGGCGUGCUUAACACAUGCAAGUCGAACGGAAAGGCCCUUCGGGGUACUCGAGUGGCGAACGGGUGAGUAACACGUGGGUGAUCUGCCCUGCACUUUGGGAUAAGCCUGGGAAACUGGGUCUAAUACCGAAUAGGACCACGCGCUUCAUGGUGUGUGGUGGAAAGCUUUUGCGGUGUGGGAUGGGCCCGCGGCCUAUCAGCUUGUUGGUGGGGUAAUGGCCUACCAAGGCGACGACGGGUAGCCGGCCUGAGAGGGUGACCGGCCACACUGGGACUGAGAUACGGCCCAGACUCCUACGGGAGGCAGCAGUGGGGAAUAUUGCACAAUGGGCGCAAGCCUGAUGCAGCGACGCCGCGUGAGGGAUGACGGCCUUCGGGUUGUAAACCUCUUUCAAUAGGGACGAGGCGCAAGUGACGGUACCUAUAGAAGAAGCACCGACCAACUACGUG